rfam:Pan troglodytes isolate Yerkes chimp pedigree #C0471 (Clint) chromosome 1, whole genome shotgun sequence.
GCUGGGCGUAGUGGCGUGCGCCUGUAGUCCCAGCUACUCAGGAGGCUGAGGCAGGAGAAUCGCUUGAGCCUGGGAGGCGGAGGUUACAGUGAGCCCAGAUCGUGCCACUGCACUCCAGCCUGGGCAACAGAGUGAGACUCCGUCUCAA